GUGUCAGCAGCCGCGGUAAUACGGAGGGUGCAAGCGUUAUCCGGAUUCACUGGGUUUAAAGGGUGCGUAGGCGGGCAUUUAAGUCAGCGGUGAAAUCCCCGAGCUUAACUUGGGAACUGCCGUUGAUACUAUUUGUCUUGAAUGUCGUGGAGGUCAGCGGAAUAUGUCAUGUAGCGGUGAAAUGCUUAGAUAUGACAUAGAACACCUAUUGCGAAGGCAGCUGACUACGCGAUUAUUGACGCUGAGGCACGAAAGCGUGGGGAUCAAACAGGAUUAGAUACCCCCGUAGUCC
rnacentral:rRNA from 1 species